rnacentral:rRNA from 1 species
UACAGAGGGUGCGAGCGUUGUUCGGAAUUAUUGGGCGUAAAGGGCGCGUAGGCGGUGCGGUAAGUCACCUGUGAAAGCUCCCGGCUCAACUGGGAGAGGUCCUUGGAUACUGGCGGACUUGAGGGAGGCAGAGGAAAGUGGAAUUCCCGGUGUAGUGGUGAUAUGCGUAGAUAUCGGGAGGAACACCAGUGGCGAAGGCGGCUUUCUGGGCCUUACCUGACGCUGAGACGCGAAAGCGUGGGGAGCGAACCGG